GAUCCUGGCUCAGAAUCAACGCUGGCGGCGUGCCUAACACAUGCAAGUCGAACGCGAAAGGGGCUUCGGCCCUGAGUAGAGUGGCGAACGGGUGAGUAACACGUGGGUGAUCUACCUUCGAGUGGGGGAUAACGUUCCGAAAGGAGCGCUAAAACCGCAUGACGUUCCGGGUUUGAAGACCGGGAAACCAAAGUCGGGGCCCUUAGGGAAACUUAAGGCCUGGCGCUCGAAGAGGAGCCCGCGCCUGAUUAGCUAGUUGGUGGGGUAACGGCUCACCAAGGCGACGAUCAGUAGCCGGCCUGAGAGGGCGGACGGCCACACUGGGACUGAGACACGGCCCAGACUCCUACGGGAGGCAGCAGUGGGGAAUUGUUCGCAAUGGGCGCAAGCCUGACGACGCAACGCCGCGUGGAGGAUGAAGGUCUUCGGAUUGUAAACUCCUGUUGACCGGGAAGAACGGGCCCCGAGCGAAUAGCUCGAGGCAGUGACGGUACCGGUUGAGGAAGCCACGGCUAACUCUGUGCCAGCAGCCGCGGUAAUACAGAGGUGGCAAGCGUUGUUCGGAAUUACUGGGCGUAAAGGGCGCGUAGGCGGCCUUCUUAGUCGGACGUGAAAUCCCCAGGCUCAACUUGGGAACUGCGUCCGAUACUGGAGGGCUCGAGUGCGGGAGAGGGAUGUGGAAUUCCAGGU
rnacentral:rRNA from 1 species